UACGUAGGGGGCUAGCGUUGUCCGGAAUUAUUGGGCGUAAAGAGCUCGUAGGCGGCUUGUCACGUCGAUUGUGAAAGCCCGAGGCUUAACCUCGGGUCUGCAGUCGAUACGGGCUAGCUAGAGUGUGGUAGGGGAGAUCGGAAUUCCUGGUGUAGCGGUGAAAUGCGCAGAUAUCGGGAGGAACACCGGUGGCGAAGGCGGAUCUCUGGGCCAUUACUGACGCUGAGGAGCGAAAGCGUGGGGAGCGAACAGG
rnacentral:rRNA from 1 species